CUUUCGUCUGUUGCGCCUUUUCUCUCCCUGGUGUUUAAGAACGUGGAGGACAAAAGGAUACCAAAGAAUCGAAAACUAUGACAAAGAUUCUUCAAGAUCACAAGCACCAUCUUUGACAUGUUGCCAUGGUAGCAGAUACAGGGGAAACAAGUGUAGACGAUGCCACAAGAAGGAUGAUGAAAUUCCUCAUAUCACCUGAGCUGGCUGUGGAGUACAACAUGCUUGGCCGACAUGGGGAAAAAAAGUUCAGAGAUUUGCGUCUUUUUAAUGUUGUGUAUGAGGCACUGAAGAAUUAUUUAACAUCAAAAGUCAACUUGCAAGAAGC